rnacentral:lncRNA from 1 species
CCAGUCAAAUAUGAUAUAAAAUAUUAAAUAUGUGAUUAAUUGAUUAUAUGCUUACAGGGGAAUAAACUGAAAACUGAAAAGUCAAUAGUAUUUUGAAAAGUCUUCAGAUGUGGAGAGAUAAGGGUUUGUUGAGGGGAUAAGGAUUAUGAGCAAGCAAAUGGACCAAUAUCCCAAACACCAAUGAAAUGUCUCCACGUGGCGUAAGCUCACUGUUUUUCCUUGUACAUAAUGGAGAAAGUUGUAACGUACCUGCAAUCGGACAAUACCGGAGGAGAACGGAGGAGGUUCGGACUUAAGGUUAGAGACGGCGGUAAUCAAACUCUCCGUCGCUGCCGCUAGCGACGUAACCGUUGAUAGAGAUCUCGUCUCUACCGUACCGAGUGGCGCUUUAUGGCUAGCCUCACACCCGUUCAUGGUCAGCGAACAGAGUAGGGGUCUCUGUCUGACGCAAAAGGUUACUGGUAUAUAGAGAGACACGUAACGCAAAAAAAAAAAACUUUUCGAGGGACACGAUUCGGUGGAUGAGGCUGGAGAAUAGCUUUGGAAGAUCGGAGUGGAGUUAUGUUUUUAUGGUUUGUUCCCAGGAGAUAAGAUGAAAAUUGAAGCGACGCCAUAUAUAUUAAUUAUAGACUAGAGAAUAAUUAAUAUAUAAAGUGUAUAGUCUGUUUAUUUAUUAUCGGUCCCCCCCCCCCAGAAGAGCUAGCCUCCCUCAAGGUCUGUGAUCUUCUACUCCCAGACUCCAAUGAGUGGGAUGUACCCAAAAUUCGAGAAGUUUUGCCUCAGUAUGAGGAUACUAUAAGAUUACUAAACCCCAGUUUUUCAAAGCCUCCCGACAACAAAGUUUGGCUAGGAGAGAAGUCUGGUAUCUACACUUCUAAAUCUGGAUACAAACUGGCUUCUCCUAACAGCGCUACACCCUCCUUCAACUGGAUGCAGAAUGUAUGGAAUGUCGACGCUCUCCCUGUAGGUAACCUACUUUCCUUCAGAGGCAUCUCGAAUGUAGCACCAUGUAAACAUUGUGGAGCAUUGGAAACUAUUAUACACGUCUUGUUCAGCUGCCCGAUAGCCCAACAGGUUUGGGAGAUGGCUCCAAUUUCUAUGCAGGAUUUGGAUCCCUCUGCAUCCUCCCUCCGGCUUUUGCUGCCUUGCACUCUGAAAGCAAUAAACCUUCCUCCCAUAGGCCUGACAGAUUCCCCCUUAGCACCAUGGAUACUAUGGAAUCUAUGGACAGCAAGGAACAAAGCAAUUUUUGAAAACAUGAUUCCUUUGGCUCCAAAAAUUCUGGUCAAAGCUUUAAUUGAAGCAAAGGAAUGAGAAGCAGCUAACCUGUCAAUUCCGAAACCACAGAAAGUCCUUUCCCUUCCACGAAGUCGAUCCAGUGAAGAAUCUCCCACUUGUUGGGUUGAUGGAGCGUGGGAUGUCGCUUCUCAUAGUGGAGGCUUUGGAUGGAUUAUUAAAUCGGCAGAUAACACUUCCAUAUGUAAAGACUCUGCCUCAAGAUCUUUUGUAGGCUCCGCUCUUAUAGCUGAAGCUCUGGCAGUAAGGCACGCUCUCCGCGCAGCAGCAUCCUUAGGUCUAACAAAUCUCAAUUUGUUCUCGGACUCCCUAGUCCUCAUUUCAGCCCUCUCGACAGGUCCGAUUUGAACGAGAUCGCGGGUCUCCUUUGUGACAUAAGGGUCCUUGCCUCUCUCUUCAACCAUUUAUCGUUUUUACAUGUCUCUCGUACUUGUAAUAUUGUAGUAGACUCCUUUGCUAAAUCAGCCUUGGCAAAGCUGAUUUCAGACAUCUCCCUUGUUGGAGCCCAGUAGUUGAAUUAAUGAAAUUUCCUUUCCGUUCAAAAAAAAAGUUGAAUGCAAUAUAGCUGACAGGCUUUAAAAAUUCAAAUAUUAUGUAAAGGCAAUCUCCUCGCUAGCGUUACUUCUUUUCAUACUUUAAUCAUGCAUUUUAUAGCAAAGUCAUUUUUUAUCGCAAUGAUCGUCUCUUUACUCCGCAUUUGCACGCGUAAAUGCUUCUUUUUCCUAUGGUAAAUAUGAGCCUCAACACAGGUUCAUGUCAUAUAGAUAUCUCUAUGUUGAAGAAUGAAUGAAUUAGAGAUUUAUCUUUUGUUUAUAUUGAAGUUUUACGUUAAAUCUAAUCUGAAAUUAUGCUAUAACUUUUAAAGUGAGAGGUAGAAGAAUAUUUAUAUUGAUUUCAUAAUAAAAAGGUGUCGUUUAAAUUAUUGGUACUGGAAUAAAGCAUUUUAAUUUUAUAGUGAGAUAUGAUUGUAAGAACAACUUGAAGAGAAUACGAUUGAUGGGAAGAGGUCAGGUUAACUUUUGGAUCACAGUUUAGACCCAUCUUUCUCGUUUCCUAUAAAUAAAUACUAUAAACUAAAAUGUCUUUUUGUUGGAUUAACGCAAACUUAAUUUAAAAAGAAACCAAUCACGUUCUGGAAACAAUAUUUUGAAAGUAUUUAUUCCACUAGCACUUACUGAUAAUCAGAUUAAGUUCAAUCGUUAUAAAAAUAACUUGUCGUUUUCUCAUGAAUGUGGUGGAAAUAUACGUCAGCUUUAGAUCAUAACGUGCGUAAGUGCGUUAUGGACCUUACUCUCAGUUUAUAGGAUUUUCUUUUGGUCAGCAUCAUCAUUAGUUGAUCGUCUGCAAAGCUGGCUCAUGUUCAAGUGUCUUAGUGAACUGCAGAAAACACAUAGUAAUAUGUUAACAAAUUUCAUAAGGACAUGGAAAUUGCACUACUGUUUUGAGAACAAAGUUCCUCACCUGAGAGAUCUUAAGCUCAAGCUCGUUCCACUCAGAGGAUGGAUCACUUCCUGAAACUAUUCCUGUUCCUGCGUAGACCAAUGCUCCAAGACCCUGAGGAACACAACAAGAAAAGAAGAUCAGAUAGAUGCAAUGACUUCACAGUAGAUGUGUUACACUGCGGACAUCUUACCUUUUGCACUAAAGCAGAUCUUAUGCCUACAGAAAAUUCACUCUCUCCACCACCAAAGAAUCCAACAGGUCCAGCAUACAUUCCUCUAUCAAAUGACUCUGGACAAAAAAGAAGUAUAACAUGUACCAAGUUUCAGUAUAUAAGCAUACUUAUAUCAUAUCUAAUCAAGUAUAAGCAUAAGGUAUAAGAAUCAAAGCAUCUUAUACCAAUCUGCUUAAUCAAAAGUCUUGCUUCAUCUACUGGGCAUCCACAAACAGCUGGCGUUGGAUGCAAAGCAUUUAAGAUGUCAAACUGAAAAAUAGACAAAACAUAUAUUGGUGUAAGAUAAGAUAAGAUAAAUUGUAGCUUGCUUCACUCAGUGCCAUGAUGACUAAGAGAAUAUAACAAGAAUUGAGUUCGAAAAGACUAAUGAAAUUAUUUCAGAUAAACCAUGAAGAACAGUAAUCUAACCUCGUCAUCUUCUCUUCUAAGCUGACCAGCCAACUGAGAAUAUAGAUGUUGUAUUCUUGCAAGCUUUCUCACAGUUUUUUGGGGCUUCACAAUUACUCUGUCACAUAUGGCCUAAAAAGCAAAAGAUCAGAUGUGAUUCUGCUAUAUAAAGCUGAUUAUUAUAUGAAAACAAGUGACGUUAUAUUGUUAAAAAGCCUCAAAAAUCAAACUAAAGGCAUGAUUAUACAGUUCUACGGAACUGCGGUUGAUGGAGAACUUACACUAAGUUUUUCUCUUAUAUUCUCUCGCACAAUGGAGAAUUCAAGAUCGUCUUUGGGACUGCAAAUAAAUAAUAUCAGUACGCAUAUCUGGAAGUUUAUAAACAUACUUGCAUCCCCUAAAUGUUAGCAGCACAAAACAAAACAAAACAAAACAACUGACCUGGUUAGUAAGUCACGCUCUAUCUCCAAAUCAGAAACCUCUGAAUCACCUCUAGGCCUGGUUGCAGCCAAAGCCUCACUCCAGACACCUAGAUUUUUCCUAUAGAAGAGUCUCUCAGGCUGCUCCACAAGAAACCAGCACUCGAGUUCACAUCAUUUCUAAAAACCACAGUGUGCUAACAAAUUCUCUAUACAUAAAUAAAUAGCUAGAGUAAGUAACCUACCGUGUUACCUAUGAAUGCUGGUGCACCUGGUGGCUGAAGACAGAACUGGUACGCAUCUUUUCCUUCACACUGUCAUAUUAAUAAUUAGAGAUACUAAUACCUAAAUGUUGUUACUUAAGAGUAAAGAAUGUGCGAGGGAGAAUAGACACCUGCAACCGAGCUAGCCAAGCAAUAGGAUCAAUGUCUGUAUCUGUAAUGAUUCUGCUGCUCCGUGCAAGCACAACCUGAUUCCCAAAACCAAAAUCAUCAGGUUCAUGAAAGAAAGAACAUAUGUUUCUUUAACUAAGUACCUUGCUUAGUGGCGAAUAUUUUUCCUUAAUGAUCUCCAGAGCACUAUUUACAGAAGGAUAAUAGUCUCCUUUACUAGGAACAUGGUUCUUACUAACAACAGAAACUCCUAGUGAUUCUCGCCUUAAUCUCACUAUUACAGAAGAAACCUGAAGCAUAGUCUCCUCAAGUGAUUCAAUGGCAUUGUGCAGCGUCCAUGAGAGCUCAUCCUCCCAAGCAACAGUUGCAGCCAGCAUUGAGCUUCUCUCAAACUCAACAAACUCGACCUAUGUGUAUAUCAACCAAUCAAACGCAUUCAUAAUGGUUACAAAACUCUCUUAAGGCAAACAAAAGUUCUCAUACCUGAGGCACUGUAAAGUAAAAGGAACCAAACUGUUCCCAUUCAACACCAACUUCUCCGUUGGGAUCAAACCGAAGUCCACCGUAGGCACGAAUCAGAGGAGAAUUCGGAGACAGAAACCUUUUCAAGAAACAGAGGAAAGUGACUAAAAACCCAGUGUUCUAAAAAUCGGUCCAAAUGGGAUAUGACUUUUUCAAACCUAUUUUUUCAAAAAAAGGUUUAGGCAUUCAAAAAAUAGGCAUAGGCAGCCGACUAAAAGAUAAUUCUCUAUAAGACGCCUAACCACCGGCUAGCGAUUUUUACAACAUUGUAAAAAACAUAAAGAACCAAACUUUCAUAUAGUUUUGGUUCUGAAAAAAAAACUGUGAUGUUACCUUCGGAUCAAUGUCCAGUGAUCAUGAGAGAAUGGAUCAAGAUCACUGAAAUAUAGAGCAGACCCGAGUCCAGCAACACUGACCGGGUUAGCAUCACAUGUUCCAUUCACAUUCUCGCUAGCCAAGUCCUGUAGCAGCUCUGGACGGCCAGAGUCGCUGCGACGGGAGAAGAAACUGCGAGGAAGAGCAUCAUUCUGUGCAUGAAGCCAGUCGAGUGCCCCGAUUUGGUGGUCCACCGGCACCUGUAAUCCCAUUUAAAACCUUAAAAGGUCUCGAACACUUAUUUUGCGCGGGACAAUUUGGAUAUCAGACAUUUUGUGUAAUUAAUCAUUUUUGUUUGGUAUUUUUCUAUCUUUUAAAUUUUAUAGUUUGUAUUACUACUAUUUUAGUCCUUGAUAUUGUUAAUAAUCAUCUUCUUUUUUUUUUUUUUUGAAACUGGAUCAUCUUCUUUUUUUCCGGCUAAUUGUUAAUAAUCAUCUAUACAAUUAAGUUUAUAUAAAUACAUAAAAAGACUAUUUGAAAGAAAAAAUACAUGAAAUAAAAUUAAAUAUUAAAAUGUGAUUGUAAAUAAUAUAAAAAUGUUAUACUAAAAUAUUUAUAAAAAAAUAUAGUGAUAGCCAGUCAAAUAUGAUAUAAAAUAUUAAAUAUGUGAUUAAUUGAUUAUAUGCUUACAGGGGAAUAAACUGAAAACUGAAAAGUCAAUAGUAUUUUGAAAAGUCUUCAGAUGUGGAGAGAUAAGGGUUUGUUGAGGGGAUAAGGAUUAUGAGCAAGCAAAUGGACCAAUAUCCCAAACACCAAUGAAAUGUCUCCACGUGGCGUAAGCUCACUGUUUUUCCUUGUACAUAAUGGAGAAAGUUGUAACGUACCUGCAAUCGGACAAUACCGGAGGAGAACGGAGGAGGUUCGGACUUAAGGUUAGAGACGGCGGUAAUCAAACUCUCCGUCGCUGCCGCUAGCGACGUAACCGUUGAUAGAGAUCUCGUCUCUACCGUACCGAGUGGCGCUUUAUGGCUAGCCUCACACCCGUUCAUGGUCA